rnacentral:tRNA from 1 species
GCCCCUGUGGCGGAACUGGUAGACGCGGCAGACUCAAAAUCUGUUUCCUGAAAGGGAGUGGGAGUUCGAUUCUCCCCGGGGGCACCA